GAUGAACGCUGGCGGCGUGCUUAACACAUGCAAGUCGAACGGAAAGGCUCCUGCUUGCCGGGGUACUCGAGUGGCGAACGGGUGAGUAACACGUGGGUGAUCUGCCCUGCACUUCGGGAUAAGCCUGGGAAACUGGGUCUAAUACCGGAUAGGACGAUGGUUUGGAUGCCAUUGUGGAAAGUUUUUUCGGUGUGGGAUGAGCUCGCGGCCUAUCAGCUUGUUGGUGGGGUAAUGGCCUACCAAGGCGUCGACGGGUAGCCGGCCUGAGAGGGUGUACGGCCACAUUGGGACUGAGAUACGGCCCAGACUCCUACGGGAGGCAGCAGUGGGGAAUAUUGCACAAUGGGCGCAAGCCUGAUGCAGCGACGCCGCGUGGGGGAUGACGGCCCUCGGGUUGUAAACUCCUUUCGCUAGGGACGAAGCGCAAGUGACGGUACCUGGAGAAGAAGCACCGGCUAACUACGUG
rnacentral:rRNA from 1 species